UACGUAGGGGGCGAGCGUUGUCCGGAAUCAUUGGGCGUAAAGCGCGUGUAGGCGGCUCGAUAAGUCUGCUGUGAAAGUCCAGGGCUCAACCCUGGAAUGCCGGUGGAUACUGUCGAGCUCGAGUCCGGAAGAGGCGAGUGGAAUUCCUGGUGUAGCGGUGAAAUGCGCAGAUAUCAGGAGGAACACCAAUGGCGAAGGCAGCUCGCUGGGACGUGACUGACGCUGAGACGCGAAAGCGUGGGGAGCAAACAGG
rnacentral:rRNA from 1 species